AAAGUUUCUUGCUAAUUGGUGAAAGUGUUUUUGAGUUAUUGUCUGAAAACUGGAAAAUUCCCAUUUUUUAAUGAAUAAAACCCCAUAACUCGGAAACAUAAAAUCUAAAAUUAAAAAAAAAAAAACAAAAGGGAGCUCACGUCAAUAGAUAUAAACAAUUCACCAAAGUUUCAUGCAAAUUGGUUAAAGUGUUUUUGAGUUAUUGUCCGACAUGUUGACGACGGACGGACAGACAACGGCAUACCAUAAUACGUCCCGUAAACGGGCAAAUAAAAAUGAUUCUAAAUGAGAUUUAAACAUUAAUAAACAACAGCAAACAAGAUUACACAGAUAAUUGAUAAAUUAAGAAAUUAUUUAGAAACUAUGGUUACAACUCCUACAGACAAAAUUUAGACGAAUUUGGCCAUUUUUCUUAAGUCCCUUUUGAGCAUAUAGCUUCUCGCAUGUUCAGGUAUUCAUACAUCCUAGGCUCACAUGUUCAGGUAUACAUACAUCCUAGGCUCACAUGUUCAGGUAUACAUACAUCCUAGGCUCACAUGUUCAGGUAUACAUACAUCCUAGGCUCACAUGUUCAGGUAUACAUACAUCCUAGACUCACAUGUUCAGGUAUACAUACAUCCUAGGCUCACAUGUUCAGGUAUACAUACAUCCUAGGCUCACAUGUUCAGGUAUUCAUACAUCCUUGGCUCACAUGUCCAGGUAUUCAUACAUCCUAGGCUCACAUGUUCAGGUAUUCAUACAUCCUUGGCUCACAUGUCCAGGUAUUCAUACAUCCUAGGCUCACAUGUCCAGGUAUUCAUACAUCCUUGGCUCACAUGUCCAGGUAUUCAUACAUCCUAGGCUCACAUGUUCAGGUAUACAUACAUCCUAGGCUCACAUGUCCAGGUAUACAUACAUCCUUGGCUCACAUGUUCACGUAUACAUACAUCCAAGGCUUUCAAACUUUUGGGUUUGAGCAUUCCUGAUGAAGGUAAAUCUCUAACAGUGCUUCAGCUAUACAAAAUUUUUUAAGUGUACUCAAAUAUAUUGAAAAAAAGACCUCUUUCGAGUUUUGUCCUUAACCGGCAAAGUUUGUCAAUUAUGCGUGCCUUAAGAACAUAAUUUACCAGAUAGAGGGGAUGGACUGUAUCCCUGCACUAUUUAAUAUGAAAAUAAAGAAGAUGUGGUAUGAUUGACAAUGAGGCAACUCUCCACAAGACACCAAAUGACACAGAAAUUAACAACUAUAGGUUCAUCAAGCGCCUUCAGGAUUGUCAUUAUGCAGGAUAAACUAGAAAUAGUGUUUUUUCCGUAGGUACUUAAUCACAAUUCCCUAAUGACAGCAGUGCUGAUUAUCAAUUAUGAGAAUUUAAUUUGAUGAAUAAUACGUGCAUUAUAGCAUCAUA